UACGAAGGGGGCUAGCGUUGUUCGGAAUUACUGGGCGUAAAGGGCGCGUAGGCGGUCUGGUAAGUCGAACGUGAAAUCCCCGGGCUCAACCCGGGAACUGCGUCCGAUACUGGCAGGCUUGAAUCCGGGAGAGGGAUGUGGAAUUCCAGGUGUAGCGGUGAAAUGCGUAGAGAUUGGGUGGAACACCGGUGGCGAAAGCGGCUAUCUGGAUCACAACUGACGAUCAGGCACGAAAGCGUGGGGAGCAAACAGG
rnacentral:rRNA from 1 species